GUACGCGAGCUGGGUUUAGAACGUCGUGAGACAGUUCGGUCCCUAUCUGCCGUGGGCGUUGGAUGAUUGAUUGGAGUUGUUCCUAGUACGAGAGGACCGGAAUGAACGAACCGCUGGUGUUCGGGUUGUCAUGCCAAUGGCACUGCCCGGUAGCUACGUUCGGAACGGAUAACCGCUGAAAGCAUCUAAGCGGGAAGCCGGCCAAGAGAUGAGUCAUCCCUUGUACCUUGAGUACACAUAAGGGUCGUUGGAGACCACAACGUUGAUAGGUG
rnacentral:rRNA from 1 species